rnacentral:misc_RNA from 1 species
AUUAACCUCUGGACCACAAAAAUAAACUUUGCAUGGUGUUACUAGGACCCUUCUUACAUACACCAACCCAUCAUCUAAAGUGAUGGACGGAGAUUUUGGAGGUUGUCUACCCUUGAGAUACCCAUCAUACUGCUCAGUGAGCCACCUCACCGGAUCAUAACAGCACUCCUUUAUAUAGUACAGUUUCUCUAAGGCAUGCUCAAUGCAUGCCACAUUUCUCCUUCGAGGAUCAACUAAUCGGAAAAAGUAGACAUUUAAUGCUGGCCCAGGUAUGCAUCCAUGCUGUACCAAAGAACUAAUUUUGAACAAAAUCUUGUAGGGAAUUGAAAUUCCUUCCGGAGGCUGGACAUUGGGAACCAGAGCCGAUUUUUGAGAGACGAAAAAGGUGAAACCAGUCUGUAAAGUAAUAUUGUUUUCACGUUCUGCAUAGUGAAAAAAACUUUCCUCGAAAUUUGGAAGACGAACACCCCUACGGAACUGCAAACAUAAGCUAGAAGAUAGCCCUAUCCAAGAUGGAGGGAAAUCUGUUGUCCUCACCCACUGAUCAUCAGGAGUUUCCUUAAAGAAGCUAUAACAGGAGUUUUCAAGUCUCUUAUAGAUCCGAGGAGCACCAAAUAACUGUAUGAGGAGAAACUGAGCAUUUUGACCAUAUGGACGAUGGAGCACAACCUGCCAUAUAUUUUCAUAUGAAAGCUGAAGUUUAUAGUCAGCUGAACCACUAGAUAAAAAGAAAAAAAAUUUCUUCAAUCCAAUGCCAAAUUGAAUUGAAACUUCUGUACUUCCCAACACUGCAAACUUGUCAUCUGAUAUCUGACAUCCGAAAUUCAAAGUUAUGCCAUCCAUCUGAUCCACAUACGCCCGCAGUUGGACAAUAUCAGUUUUCAUUUCCCAAGCCUUCAAAUAAGAAGAGCCAAAAUACAGCCUGUUAUUAGCCAAAGUGAUGAUUUUGUCAGCACUUAUGUUGUCGGCAAAUUGAACUUUGGCAAAUGCUCUAGAUCCUCCUUUGGACUGUUUAACCUCCAAUGCACAUACAGUUCCAUAUCCUGUAUAUUUCUCUAAGAAUGACUUAACCACUUCCGCAGAGAGAAGAUAAGGGAAUCCGAAAACCUGAAUUGUCUUUCCCAUGUAGCCAAAUUCCAAGUGCAGUUCGACUUUCAAAUGCUAACACCAACUGGAAUACCCCCUGAAGUUAUGCAAAAUAAAAACUACCCAGCAGUAGUGACUGAAACUGAAGCACAACCAAAUUUAUUAUCACAACACACAAAGACUUGAGGGGAGUGAUGAGUCAAUCCCUGGUGAAGUAAGUAAAG